GAAAGUACAAAAAGAAGCAGCAGCAGAAGAAGAAGCAAAGACUGCGGCAGUUUAAUGACCUAUGGGUUCGCUUUGAAGAAAGGGGAUGUCAUUUAAACCUUUUGUAAUUCCUGACCUGUGGAAGGGAACAAGCAGCAUAGGGUGCCACCGACCCUCCUCCCCGUAUCCGUAUCAUCAAUGGCUACAUCACAGUGGAACCCCAGCCCCGGGGCCAUGGACGGUUCAGUCC